UACUUUUAUAAAAAAUAUCGUUUCUACAUCAAAUUUAAUUUUCUUUAUCCCUCUUCUAGGUAAAGAGUUGAAUAUAUGAAGAUCAAAUUUCUGAGAAGAUUAAGUACUACAUGAAGGAAAAUGCAAAACAUGCAGAAAAAAUGUCCAUUUGUGAAUAGAAGGUUCACCUCUCCCUUUACGAAGUUCAUACCAGCGAAGUGAAAUUGAAGUGUGAAGAACAGGAAGUGAAAUUGAAGUCUGAAGAAACAGGCUGUGCAGAAAGAAAAUGCUCAGGUUAAGAUCCACAAGAAUCAGUCUAUGCAGGUCAGAAUCAACCUCCAUCAACCUCCAUCCUUUAUGAGACGUAGGACGUGAUGCAGCUCCCAUGGGAAAUAUCAGUUUUGUCUCUACCAAGGAUGCAGAGAAAGACAAGAUUCAGGCUUGUUUCCGGGAAGAAACCCUGACAGAAAUUCAGAAGAACGGGAGCUGCAUUCCAUUAGGACGUGAAUACACGAAAUGUUUGUCUCAGGACCUUCUAGAAGAAUGAGCUUGGACCCACUUUCCGAGUCCUGCUGGAACCAGAGACAGAGGACUUCUAGUACUAUGUGGAAUAAGUGGUGAGAGGGAUCAUCCCUGUAUUGUCCCUGACUUUGGAGGAAAAACUUUCAAUUUUUCCCCAUUGAGGAUGAGAUGAGCUGUGGGUUUUUCAUAGAUGACCUUUAUUAUGUGCAGGUAGGUUGAGUCCCAAUCUACUUGCUAGGGGGUUUUUAUCAUGAAUGGAUGUGACAUUUUGUCAAAUCGUUUUCCUGCAUGUCUUGAAAGCAUCAUAUUUUUCUUAUCCUUUCUUCUAUUACUGUGGUGCAUCAUGUUGAUUGAUCUGUGAAUGUGGAACCACACUUGCAGCCCAGGAAUAUAUCCCACUUGAUUAUGGUAAAUGAUUAUAUUAAUGUAUUGUUGACUUUAAUUUGAAGGUAUUUUGAUGUGAAUUUAUGCAUACAUACGCAUCGUGGUAUUGGUCUGUAGUUUUAUUUAAAAAAUUUUAAACCUAUUUAAAAUAUUUAUUUACUUAGAGACAUAGAGUACA